rnacentral:rRNA from 1 species
CAUGCAGUCGAGCGCUUCCCUUCGGGGAGGAGCGGCGGACGGGUUAGUAACGCGUGGGAAUAUACCCAGUUCUAAGGAAUAGCCAUUGGAAACGAUGAGUAAUACCUUAUACGCCCUUCGGGGGAAAGAUUUAUCGGAAUUGGAUUAGCCCGCGUUAGAUUAGAUAGUUGGUGGGGUAACGGCCUACCAAGUCGACGAUCUAUAGCUGGUUUGAGAGGAUGAUCAGCAACACUGGGACUGAGACACGGCCCAGACUCCUACGGGAGGCAGCAGUGGGGAAUCUUGGACAAUGGGCGCAAGCCUGAUCCAGCCAUGCCGCGUGAGUGAUGAAGGCCUUAGGGUCGUAAAGCUCUUUCGCCAGAGAUGAUAAUGACAGUAUCUGGUAAAGAAACCCCGGCUAACUCCGUGCCAGCAGCCGCGGUAAUACGGAGGGGGUUAGCGUUGUUCGGAAUUACUGGGCGUAAAGCGCACGUAGGCGGAUCAGAAAGUAUAGGGUGAAAUCCCAGGGCUCAACCCUGGAACUGCCUUGUAAACUCCUGAUCUUGAGUUCGAGAGAGGUAAGUGGAAUUCCGAGUGUAGAGGUGAAAUUCGUAGAUAUUCGGAGGAACACCAGUGGCGAAGGCGGCUUACU